CCCAAUACUUUUAUCAAUCACAUCGGACAUCACCAGAUAAUGCAUAGUUUUGUAUUUGAAGGUGACAAGAUAACUCAAGAAGCGACUAGUAAUUCUCUGCAUCAGCUGUGUUACGGUCAUUCGCUUAUGAACAGAGUCACAACAAGGCACGUCAAGGCACAUCAACUUAAUAUUAGUCUUUCUAUUCGCCGCCCAUGUACGAGCUAUUACAAUCUUACUGUCAUCAAGCAACUCCAAUAGGUUGGAAAACUUAAAGAUCAAAAGCUGCACAACUGAUAUGAAGCUUUCAUGGCCUAAAAUCUCACAAGUUCACAACACUAUUAAAGGCAAACAUAUACAGCAAUCACAAACAAUACAAGGAUCACUUGGACUAGGUAUCCGAGAAGCUCUUAAGAGGAUCAAAGUAUCCAAUAACAUGAUCUGCCACUAGUAAAAUCCUAAGAGAUAUCAAGCAUUGGUCUAAUCCCCAGUAUUAUGAGUUCACAAAAUCGACAGCAUGAAUUUAUCCUCUCUCUUCCCAUGGCAAAAGCAGAAUCUUGUAACUACUUGACAUUAGACAUUAAAACAACACUAAUUUAAUGAGACUGAAAAAACCAAUGUAGAAUGCAUAUGGGUGGGAGGACUAGCUUCAAUCCUAUUGAUGAACUUGACUUCACCUUAAGCCUGAUGGCACGCAUUUCCUCUCCCCACAAGUAUGGGUUAGAGGGUGAGUUUUUGGGUUCAAGUUUCUUCGGUCACAUGAGUUUCUUUUCCAUGCAAAAAACAAAAAUCAUAGUAAACUCCAUAGUAAAAUUUGUGCUUAGCUUGUUCGAUCUACUUAAACCAGUGUCACUAGCAUACCUUUGAACAAUCUGUUUAACUUCCUCAAAAAUAUCACAAACAAUGCAAAGCUUCUUUUACCCCUACCCUUAUCUCUGAAAGCCAUGCAUCUACUACAAUACUAAACCAGGGAUUAAGUACUUAUUUAUAUAAGGCUCAAAACCCUCAAUUGCGGUUCAAUUCUAUACAACAAUCUCCCAUGCACUUGUCUAAAGUCUUUUUUAUCUCACCAUCUGACAUACUACAUAUAUACUCAGGAAUAACCAGUUCCAUAUGAAAAAUUAUAACAUUUAUUGAGGCCUAUAUCCUUUAUUAUUUGUUUUGCUCGUGCCCUAAUCCUUCAAUCCGGAGGGAUGAAAUAACCUUCACCCUGUCCCUGUUUUUCACAAAUUUGUUUCCUUCCUUUUAAGCAAUGAACAACUGCAAUAUUUGCCUCAUAUUGACAUGCCUGUAUUACUCAACUAGCCAAACUAAUACAAGUAUUAAAAGAAAGAAAUGCAGGAAAGGUAAAGAAGAAGACACAUGCUUCAUCUCUUUCUUCCAACUGCCAUCUUAUGAGGCUUCCUAGUGUGAAGGGUUUGUUUUGUGAGAAACACUGUUAUCAUUGUUAUUCUAAUGUCAGUGUGAGAAUGCGGGUGAAGUGAAACAAACCAAGUUAUAGUGAUUCAUCUGGUACCUUCUUGUAAUCAAUUCAACACAAGAAGAAUAGAAUAACAUCUAGGAACUCCGAUCAGUACCUAUGACUAAGCAUCUCGAUUCUUUGUAGUUACACAUAUAUUCACAUAUUAUAUUUUUAGAUUUUCACAGGACACACACAUCACCAAAGAUAUUUUAAUUGUGGUAUUAUGGUCUCUCUCACAUGGUACGUUUAAGUGGCACCACAAGUGACUCCGAGGUUCUGAUAAUUCCAUCCUCAAGAAGCAUGUCCCAACAAAACGGAGAACAUGGUAGGAUGAGAAUCUCAAACAAGAAUUUGCAACAUUAACCAAUACAAAGCAAAACAUUCAAAUCAAUUAGUUAAAAAAGGUACUACUUUAGAAUACUGGAAAACAAUAGCUAAAGCUUUCAAGGAAGUCUAAAGAGUGAGACAUAACCAAGCAAGCAUUGAAAAGGUGAUUUGCAAGAACUGGAAGCAAAACUUGGAGCUGGGAAAACGAAGAAGGAAGGGUAUACGAUCUCUUGUCAAAGUCUCAAUCUAAACAAUUGACAAGUAGGUACUUGUCGAAUGUGCGGUUCAAAUUGAUAGUUGAACACUGUAAUAUGUUAAAUUCUUUUGACAAUAGACCAUUAUUUGUACUGUAAUAUUGCUUUUGCUACCAUACUAACAUAGAACCACUAUAUAGCCAGCUUUGUAUUAAAAGGAUGAUCAUAUUUUACAUCAUUAUAAGACUCAAAUGAUUACAUGAAGCUUACUUGUUAUGUAAACUUCCUAUUAAUGGCAGUUAUUCAGAUCUGCCACCAUUUUUCAAAUACGGAAUCUCUUCAAUUUGAGAUAAAACCAUGGAAAUAAUAUAAUGGGGCCAUUGUACAAUAUAAUGCCGAUAUUCUUGGCUUGCCGAGUACAAGUAUGGAUCUCAAUUCUUAAGCAUAUGACCCCUUAAACAUAUUACUAAUAAAUUCAAAAUAUUCUUUAGAGAAUGAUGAACUAGCUCUCUUUCCAAUGUUAGAAGGAUCCCGACCCUCUGCAUUUACACGCAUUUAAAAGAAUGCGCAUUAAAUUAAUCUAAUGAUUUUAAUAAGUCCACAUCAGCAAACUUGUAUUAAACUAGAAACUAAUUAGUUGCACAUUACUAUUUCCCCAACAAACCGCAACCACACCCUACCCCACACUGCCAGCCAUGGCCACCACCUCCGUACCCACCUCUCAUCGAGGGAGGGAGGGAGUGCAGGAGGGAGACGGAGGUGGCAGCCAUGGCUGGCAGUGUGGGUUAGGGAGUAAGGGAGGGAGAGAGAGGAGAGAAGGAGGGAGGGAGGAAGGAAGACGGGAGGGUUGCAUUGCUAGGGAAAUAAUGUGGUGCAAUUGAUUAGUUUUUAGUUUAAUACAAGCUUGUUGAUGUGGACUUACUAAAAUAAUUAGAUUAAUUUAAUGAUUUGCAUUCUUUUAAAUGCAUGUAAAUGCACCAAUGCAAAAUGCAUAGGCUCGAGAUCCAUGUUGAAAUAUGUCCUAAAUUCGAAUCCACCAAUUCAGUCAAAAUAUAUAAUAUAUAUAGAUACAUAUAUUACCAAGAAUAAUGUCAGUUUUGUAUCCAUUACUUUCUUCCCCUAAUGCCCCACUUACAGGAGAAAAAUGAUAUUUCUACCCAAAGUAUAUGUAUAUAUAUAUGUAUAGCAUUUGAGGAGCUUCAAUUAGAUCAAAAUUUUACACUACAAAAACCAUUGUCAACUAUAUUACGUGAUGUUAACACAAUAUGGUAUAUAAAUGCAGUAAGUCUAGCAUUACCCUAUACGUAAAUAUAAGUUCAUGUUAACUGUUAAUUAAUCACUUCAAAAAUUGUGAUCUCAAGCCUUCAUAUAUAUGUAAAUUAUCUAUUUCUCAUAUAUUUUAGGAUUCGUUUGAUAACAUUUUUGGUUUUUGUUUUUUCUCAAGCAAACAAAAAAGGAAACGACAUAGAAGAAAAGAUAAAUAGAGAAGAGCCAUAUGAGAAGUAGAAAGGGCUGAGACUGAAUAAAACUGAAACUAAAUUAACAUCUGCGAUCAAAGAUAUUUUAGUUCUUUUACUCAUACUUAUUCAUAUCAUAUUUCUUCUCCAUUUCUUACUGUCUUUUUUUCUCCGGUGAUGAUUUUUACACACCUAUUUUAUACAUUUGCAUUUCUCCCUCUUAUUUUUCUACUUUGUUAAUUGUGUAAACAAAGUAAUCAAAGCAUAAAAAUAAGAGGGUGAGUGCAAACCGAUAAAACAAGAGUAUGAAAAUCGCUACCCUUUUCAUAAAUAGGAACUUGUUUUCCCUUUUCAUAAUAUAUAUAGACAUUUUUAUAUUUCUCGUACAGAUGAGAAUGCAUACAUAUAGAUUAAAGCAACUUUACUAAUCCCAUAACAAAAUUUUCUAAAACAGAAAUCCAGCGCCUGCAUACGUGCAUGGGCUGUACAAAGGAAAGGAACCAAAGCUAGGUCUCAUGGCAAGCAAACAAAAGUGCUGAAAGUUUAGCUGUCGAAUCUCCAUGAUAAUUAACAAAAGCAACAACUCCAGGCUCCAGGCAAACAUAUAUAUACAAGUAACGGCCGACAGUGCGCCGAGCAGUUGCCAUGUGGUGCAGCUUGGAAGGGCAGAAAAGAACAAACUAAUUAAGGAUCCUAAAGCUAACCAGAAAAAGGGGCUCUGAGUGAAAAACACAUGGCCCGGCCAAGUGCAGGGCAACACCUGUCAGCAAUGGACUCAUUACUUAGGAGAUGCUAAGAGAGAAGGGAACCAACAA